GUGCUCAUUUCAGCAGCACAUACACUGAAAUUGAAAUGAUACAGGGAAGAUUAGCAUGGCC
ensembl:snRNA U6 U6 spliceosomal RNA